CUCGCAGAUGACAGUUCGGGUUCAUUCUCUCCUGUUGCGUGGUCAAUGGGAGUCAUCUCAAGGGUUGUGCCUGGCGCUGGUCCCCUGUGACCAACUGGAGUAAAUCUGGCAUCUGCCAGUUCACUUUUGAUGAACUGCACAUCUCUUGACAUUUCCUUUACUACCACUACUACUUAAGCGAGCAUUGUGGUCAUCUUCUCGAUGGAAAGGUCUUAAAAAAAAGAAAAAAAAAGAA